UCCUCCAUCCCGGCACUUCGAUCAACCGUUCCGGUGCCUCCGAUCGACUACAUCGGCGUUCCUUUCCUUUGCCAAGCAUCCCGAUUGGCUAUUAAUGAAGAAAUGAAGAAGGAAGAAGUCUACCAACGGGUGCAAGGAUUAAGGCUGCUCAACCAAUUGACAAAGCUCAACAACCGUUCGACAAAAUGGUUGCGAAGAUGUGCCUCCAUGAAAACCUUCCAUUCAUUUGAUUUAGAGCCAUAUAAGAUGGACAGUACUGGUGCCUUAUAUAUGUCUGAUAAAAUGUCGAAGACAUGAUUAGUAGCUUUUAGCUGUUUCGAUUGUAUACAUCUCUUCCUUCUGUAAAUUCAGCUGCUGCAAUCUCAUUUACAGCACAUUUUCCAUCA
rnacentral:lncRNA from 1 species